rnacentral:rRNA from 1 species
AUGAACGCUGGCGGCGUGUCUAAUACAUGCAAGUCGAACGGCUCGCAAGAGCAGUGGCAAACGGGUGAGUAAAACAUUGGAACCUACCCCUAAGUCGAGAAUACCUCCGAGAAAUCGGAGUUAAUUCUGGAUAGUCUCCUCACGGAGUAAAGGUGCAAGCCGCUUAGGGAGGGGCCUGUGACCUAUCAGCUAGUUGGUGAGGUAAUGGCUCACCAAGGCUAUGACGGGUAGCUGGUCUGAGAGGAUGGUCAGCCACAAUGGGACUGAGACACGGCCCAUACUCCUACGGGAGGCAGCAGUAAGGAAUAUUUCGCAAUGGGCGAAAGCCUGACGAAGCGACGCCGCGUGGUCGAAGAAGUUCGUAAGAACGUAAAGACCUUUUCUGAGGGAAUAAUUCUGAAGGUACCUUAGGAAUAAGCACCGGCAAACCUCGU